GACGAACGCUGGCGGCGUGCUUAACACAUGCAAGUCGAACGGAAAGGCCCUGCUCUUGUGGGUUGCUCGUUUGGCGAACGGGUGAGUAACACGCGAGUAUCCUGCCCUUGACUUUCGGAUAUCUCCAGGAAACUGGGGCUCAUACCCGAUAGGACCUCCUGCUCCAUGGUGUGCGUUGGAAAGUUUUGGCGGUUCGGUAUGGUCUCGCGGCUUAUCCGCUUUUUGGUCGAGUAGUUGCUUACCAAGGCUUGGACGGGUAGCCGGCCUGAGAGGGUGACCGGCGACAUUGGGACUGAGGGACGGCCCAGACGGCUACGGGAGGCAGCAGUGGGAAGUAUGGCACAAUGGGCGGAAGCCUGAGGCAGCAACGCCGCGUGCGGGAUGACGGCCUUCGGGUUAUAAACCGCUUUGGCCUGUGACGAGGCGUGAGUGACGGUAAUGGGUAAAGAAGCACCGGCUAACUACGUG
rnacentral:rRNA from 1 species